UACGUAGGGUGCAAGCGUUAUCCGGAAUUAUUGGGCGUAAAGAGCUCGUAGGCGGUUUGUCGCGUCUGCUGUGAAAACUGGAGGCUCAACCUCCAGCCUGCAGUGGGUACGGGCAGACUAGAGUGCGGUAGGGGGAGAUUGGAAUUCCUGGUGUAGCGGUGAAAUGCGCAGAUAUCAGGAGGAACACCGGUGGCGAAGGCGGGUCUCUGGGCAAUAACUGACGCUGAGGAGCGAAAGCGUGGGGAGCGAACAGG
rnacentral:rRNA from 1 species